rnacentral:rRNA from 1 species
GACGAACGCUGGCGGCGUGCUCAACACAUGCAAGUCGAACGGUAAGGCCCUUCGGGGUACACGAGUGGCGAACGGGUGAGUAACACGUGGGUGAUCUGCCCUGCACUUCGGGAUAAGCCUGGGAAACUGGGUCUAAUACCGGAUAGGACCACUGCCUGCAUGGGUGGUGGCGGAAAGCUUUUGCAGUGUGGGAUGGGCCCGCGGCCUAUCAGCUUGUUGGUGGGGUGAUGGCCUACCAAGGCGACGACGGGUAGCCGGCCUGAGAGGGUGACCGGCCACACUGGGACUGAGAUACGGCCCAGACUCCUACGGGAGGCAGCAGUGGGGAAUAUUGCACAAUGGGCGCAAGCCUGAUGCAGCGACGCCGCGUGAGGGAUGACGGCCUUCGGGUUGUAAACCUCUUUCAGCACCGACGAAGCGCAAGUGACGGUAGGUGCAGAAGAAGGACCGGCCAACUACGUGCCAGCCGCCGCAGUAA